UACGUAGGUGUCAAGCGUUGUCCGGAUUUAUUGGGCGUAAAGCGCCCGCAGGCGGCUUGCCAAGUUCGAUGUGAAAUCUCCCGGCUUAACUGGGAGGGUGCAUCGAAAACUGGCAGGCUUGAGGCAGGGAGAGGGAUGUGGAAUUCCAGGUGUAGUGGUGAAAUGCGUAGAUAUCGUGAGGAAGACCAGUGGCGAAGGCGGGUCUCUGGACAGUUCCUGACACUGAGGCACGAAGGCCAGGGGAGCAAACGGG
rnacentral:rRNA from 1 species